rnacentral:rRNA from 1 species
UUGGUUCCAAUGGGGUGAGAGCCCUGAACCCAGCCCAUGCCCGCGUGCAGGAAGACGGCCUUCCUUGGGUUGUAAACUGCUUUUGCCAGGGGAUAAAAUUUCCUUGCGAGGAAAAUUGAAGGUACCUGGUGAAUAAGCCACGGCUAACUACGUGCCCAGCAGCCGCGGUAAUACGUAGGUGGCAAGCGUUGUCCGGAUUUAUUGGGUUUUAAAGGGUGCGUAGGCGGCCUAUUAAGUCAGUGCUGAAAUAUCCCGGCUUAACCGGGAGGGUGGCAUUGAUACUGAUGGGCUAGAGUACAGAUGAGGUAGGCGGAAUUGACGGUGUAGCGGUGAAAUGCUUAGAUAUCGUCAAGAACACCUAUAGCGAAGGCAGCUUACUAGGCUGUAACUGACGCUGAGGCACGAAAGUGUGGGGAUCCCCCACAGGAUUAGAUACCCUGGUAGUCCACGCCCUAAACGAUGCAUACUUGGUGUGGGCAGUUCAGUCUGUCCGUGCCGAAGCUAACGCGAUAAGUAUGCCGCCUGGGGUAGUACGGUCGCCAAGGCUGAAACUCAAAGGUAAUUG